CCAAAGCUAACAAAAAACGGGCUCUUUUGGUAUGUUAGAAAGCAAAGAAAAGCUAAAGAGGGUGUAGGACCAUUGUGAGGAGAAGCUGGGGAGUCAGAAAUGGAUAAUGGCCUUUGAUUUUCUGGAGGCACCGUUUAGCUAGCUUAAGCAAAUCCAAGACUCCAGAGCCAGAUGGACUACAUCCUAGGGCAAUGCUUCCCAAACCUGGGCUUCCCAAGCAGACGUCUGAAGAGAGGCUCUUGCAGGCGUUCCCCUUCCAGCACUCCUGUUCUCCAGUGGCCAAGGACCUUUGAGCAUGGAGGAUCUAGCUGGCCUUCAGGACUCUAGCUGUAGAGGUCAUCUUCCUCACUGAAUUCCGUUUUUGCAUUUCUGAGCCUCCCAAAGGCAGGGCGCAUCACCAGAGCAUCAGUUCCCUGGUGGACUGGACGACCUUUAAGAUUCCUGCCGACUCUAUGAUUCCACGGUUCUAUGAAUGACAGUGGCUGGAGCCCGGUGGGGCUCACAAUGACUGGUUUUGCAGGUUCACACAGUUACAACUGCUUCUCUCAUGUGGAUCUGGAGCCGCUGCUGUUUACUGCAAGGUUCACUGCUAUUUCUUCCCCUGCAAAAGGCCAGAGUGUGCAGAUGAAUUCGAAGCUCCACCAGAGAGUAUGUGCGUUAUUACA